rnacentral:rRNA from 1 species
GACGAACGCUGGCGGCGUGCUUAACACAUGCAAGUCGAACGGAAAGGCCUCUUUCGGGGGGUACUCGAGUGGCGAACGGGUGAGUAACACGUGAGUAACCUGCCCUUGACUUUGGGAUAACUUCAGGAAACUGGGGCUAAUACCGGAUAGGAGCUCCUGCUGCAUGGUGGGGGUUGGAAAGUUUCGGCGGUUGGGGAUGGACUCGCGGCUUAUCAGCUUGUUGGUGGGGUAGUGGCUUACCAAGGCUUUGACGGGUAGCCGGCCUGAGAGGGUGACCGGCCACAGUGGGACUGAGAGACGGCCCAGACUCCUACGGGAGGCAGCAGUGGGGAAUAUUGCACAAUGGGUGGAAGCCUGAUGCAGCAACGCCGUGUGCGGGAUGACGGCCUUCGGGUUGUAAACCGCUUUCGCUCAUGACGAAGCUUUGUGUGACGGUAGUGGGUAAAGAAGCACCGGCUAACUACGUG